AGACCCGAAACCCGGUGAUCUAGCCAUGGGCAGGUUGAAGGUUGGGUAACACUAACUGGAGGACCGAACCGACUAAUGUUGAAAAAUUAGCGGAUGACCUGUGGCUGGGGGUGAAAGGCCAAUCAAACCGGGAGAUAGCUGGUUCUCCCCGAAAGCUAUUUAGGUAGCGCCUCGUGAAUUCAUCUCCGGGGGUAGAGCACUGUUUCGGCUAGGGGGCCAUCCCGGCUUACCAACCCGAUGCAAACUGCGAAUACCGGAGAAUGUUAUCACGGGAGACACACGGCGGGUGCUAACGUCCGUCGUGAAGAGGGAAACAACCCAGACCGCCAGCUAAGGUCCCAAAGUCAUGGUUAAGUGGGAAACGAUGUGGGAAGGCCCAGACAGCCAGGAUGUUGGCUUAGAAGCAGCCAUCAUUUAAAGAAAGCGUAAUAGCUCACUGGUCGAGUCGGCCUGCGCGGAAGAUGUAACGGGGCUAAACCAUGCACCGAAGCUGCGGCAGCGACGCUGAUGCGUUGUUGGGUAGGGGAGCGUUCUGUAAGCCUGCGAAGGUGGCCUGUGAG
rnacentral:rRNA from 1 species